rnacentral:rRNA from 1 species
UACAGAGGGUGCUAGCGUUGUUCGGAAUCAUUGGGCGUAAAGAGCUCGUAGGCGGUUUGUCGCGUCUGCUGUGAAAAUCCAGGGCUUAACCCUGGACCUGCAGUGGGUACGGGCAGACUAGAGUGCGGUAGGGGAGAUCGGAAUUCCUGGUGUAGCGGUGAAAUGCGCAGAUAUCAGGAGGAACACCGGUGGCGAAGGCGGAUCUCUGGGCCGUAACUGACGCUGAGGAGCGAAAGCAUGGGGAGCGAACAGG